AUUGAACGCUGGCGGAAUGCUUUACACAUGCAAGUCGAACGGCAGCACGGACUUCGGUCUGGUGGCGAGUGGCGAACGGGUGAGUAAUAUAUCGGAACGUGCCCAGUCGUGGGGGAUAACGUAGUGAAAAUUACGCUAAUACCGCAUACGAUCUAUGAAUGAAAGCGGGGGACCUUUGGGCCUCGCGCGAUUGGAGCGGCCGAUAUCAGAUUAGGUAGUUGGUGGGGUAAAGGCUCACCAAGACAACGAUCUGUAGCUGGUCUGAGAGGACGACCAGCCACACUGGGACUGAGACACGGCCCAGACUCCUACGGGAGGCAGCAGUGGGGAAUUUUGGACAAUGGACGCAAGUCUGAUCCAGCCAUUCCGCGUGCAGGACGAAGGCCUUCGGGUUGUAAACUGCUUUUGUACAGAACGAAAAGGUUUCUACUAAUACUAGGAGCUCAUGACGGUACUGUAAGAAUAAGCACCGGCUAACUACGUGCCAGCCGCCGCAGUAA
rnacentral:rRNA from 1 species